rnacentral:RNase_P_RNA from 1 species
AACAGGCCGGACGGCUGCGGGCGUCUUUUUGAGCGCCUGAGGAAAGUCCGAGCUCCACAGGGCAGGAUAGCGGCUAACGGCCGCCGAGGGUGACCUUAGGGAAAGUGCAACAGAGAUAUACCGCCGGCGGUUUUGCCGCCGGCAAGGGUGGAAAGGCGAGGUAAGAGCUCACCGGCGCGCGGGAGACCGCGCGGCCCUGCAAACCCUAUCCGGAGCAACGCCAAGUAAGGCUAUACGCUUGCCCGGCGUGCCUUGAAAGGCGGCUGGAGCCGGCGGAGCAAUCCCCGGCCAAGAUAGAUAGUCGUCCAAGACAGAACUCGGCUUACAGGCCUGGUCG